rnacentral:rRNA from 1 species
CAGCCGCCGCGGUAAUACGUAGGGGGCGAGCGUUACCCGGAUUCACUGGGCGUAAAGGGGGUGUAGGCGGCUCGGUAAGUCGGGUGUGAAAUCCCACGGCUCAACCGUGGAAUUGCGCCCGAAACUGCCGAGCUUGGGGCCGGUAGAGGGAGACGGAACUGCCGGUGUAGGGGUGAAAUCCGUAGAUAUCGGCAGGAACGCCGGUGGGGAAGCCGGCCUCCUGGGCCGCGCCCGACGCUGAGGCCCGAAAGCUAGGGGAGCAAACCGGAUUAGAUACCCGGGUAGUCCUAGCCGUAAACGAUGCCCACUAGGUGUGGGGGAGUAUUUCCUCCGUGCUGUAGCUAACGCGUUAAGUGGGCCGCCUGGGGAGUACGGCCGCAAGGCUGAAACUUAAAGGAAUUGGCGGG